rnacentral:rRNA from 1 species
UUCCGUAGGUGAACCUGCGGAAGGAUCAUUAAUGAAACUUCAAAGUCGGCCUUGUUGUGCUGGUGUUUCACUACACAUGUGCACGCUCGGUCGCAAAUCCACACACACCUGUGCAUCUAUGACUCGAGGUUGUAACGACUGAGAGUAACUUUUUUAUACACUCUGAAUGUAACGGAAUGUCUUUUUUUGUACAAUGUACAUUAUAAACAACUUUCAACAACGGAUCUCUUGGCUCUCGCAUCGAUGAAGAACGCAGCGAAAUGCGAUAAGUAAUGUGAAUUGCAGAAUUCAGUGAAUCAUCGAAUCUUUGAACGCACCUUGCACCCUUUGGUAUUCCGAAGGGUACGCCCGUUUGAGUGUCAUUGUAAUCUCACUUCUACGACUUUUUUGGUUGUGUGAAUGUGGACUUGGAUGUUGCCGUGUCAUUACGGCUCGUCUCAAAUGCCUGAGUGUACCCUGCCUCGCAGCGUAUCCGGUGUAAUAAAUGUUUCACCAGAGUUGGUCGCAAGACCGCGCUUUUGC